AUCAGCAUGCCGCGUGAGUGAGAAGGCCUUCGGGUUGUAAAGCUCUUUUGUUAGGGAAGAAAAGGUGAGCAAUAAUACUGCUUACUGAUGACGGUACCUAAAGAAUAAGCACCGGCUAACUACGUGCCAGCAGCCGCGGUAAUACGUAGGGUGCAAGCGUUAAUCGGAAUUACUGGGCGUAAAGCGUGCGCAGGCGGCCUAUUAAGUCAGAUGUGAAAUCCCCGAGCUCAACUUGGGAACUGCAUUUGAAACUGAUAGGCUAGAGUGUGUCAGAGGGAGGUAGAAUUCCACGUGUAGCAGUGAAAUGCGUAGAGAUGUGGAGGAAUACCAGUGGCGAAGGCGGCCUCCUGGGAUAACACUGACGCUCAUGUACGAAAGCGUGGGGAGCAAACAGGAUUAGAUACCCUGGUAGUCCACGCCCUAAACGAUGUCAACUGGUUGUUGGGUCUUCAUUGACUUAGUAACGAAGCUAACGCGUGAAGUUGACCGCCUGGGGAGUACGGUCGCAAGAUUAAAACUC
rnacentral:rRNA from 1 species